AUAAAAAAGCUCCUUUAUAAAUAUUUGUUUUUUAAUUUUUUUCUUUUCUAAUUUUUAAAAAUUUAUAUUUUACUCUUUCAAUAUUUCAAAUGAAUAUACUUAAUCUCCCUCCGUCAGAAUUCUAUUACUAUUUUAUCUAUUUCUUAUAAUUUAUAGCCCUUCAAAAUUUCAAAUAUAUGUUGAAAAAUUAAUUUUUUUCUUAUAAAAAAAAGUAAGUGUAAUUUGAUCAUUUUGCCCUUUUCAUUAAUGUUACACCUAUUGAAAAUAUUUUUAAAAUUUUAAGAAGGCAAAAUAUAGAUUUUUAAAAGGUAAGAAAAAAAGAAAUAAAAUGACUGAUAUUUACGGAGAGAUUUUCUAUUAUUUAUCCAAAAUUAAUAUCCAUGCGGAAUGAGAAUCCCCUGCCUCCUUAUAGGAUCUAGGUAGGUACAAUUUGUAUAACGAUUUUUUAGUUGAUGCACACUUUUAAGUACUCCUAGUUCUAAUUUUCCUUUAGGGGGCGUUUGGAUUGACGAAUUUGUAGAUCCAACAUCAGUUAAGUGCAGUGGUGUUUGAGUUUUCCUGAAGUGUGAUUAUUUUUUUGUUGUUUGUUUUGACGUAACUCGUACAGUCUGAAAGUUAAAUUCAAUUACUUCUGCUGUUUGUUUUGAUGUAACUUGGUGUUAGUAAAAUUAGUUUUUUGAGUUUUGUUGUUUGUUUUGAUGUAAGUAAGUGGAUCCCGUUAUCUUAUAAAUAUAGUGGUAAAUUUACCGCUAUAAAAUUUAACCUAUUAUAUAAUUAAAUUUUUUAUUAUUAUUUAAAGGUAAUCCUAAUUUAUUAUAAAUAAGGUAAUUCUAACCCAUUAUAAAGGAAGUAGAGUUUAGAUUUUACUGUUUAAUAAGUUUUUUAGAGGAGGUUGAGUGCGGUGGAAGUCGAGUUCGACACUUUAUAGGAGGAAGUCGAGAGUAAAUGAAGUGGAGGUUUAAGGUAACUUGAGUUACAUUAUAUUUUUGACUUACACUAAAACAAAUAACGAAAGUUAUGGAACUUGAGUUCCAUCACUCCACUUACACCAAAACGAACGGGCAUUGUUUGUUUUGUUGCUUCCACAUCUUUGGCUGGGAACUUAUGAUAUCUGUUGGUUUCUUAGUUGCAGCAGGGUAUUAUUCUAUCUCUAUUGGGGGUAAGCUUCAAAUAUCAUUCACGUGGUUUCCUACUUUCUCAAUUUAGUAUUCUGUGGUUUAAAGUGUAUCAAGUUAGUAGUUUACGAUUUCAUUUUUCUCUUUUCAUCAGCUCAUCCGUUAAUAUUUCGUUAAAUUACAUAUAAAAAAUUUUAGAUACCCCACAUAGAUUUAUCGAAUAUUCACUUUAGUAUCCUUUAGUUUUAACUUUGUUACUGAUGUAACGAAAAAAAAAUUUGUGAAAUGGAUGAUAAAAAGAGAAAAAUGAAAUCAUAGGUUACUAAAUUGAUACAUUUUAAACUAUAGGGUACUAAAGUGAAAAGUGCGAAACCACAAGCAUGGUACUUGAAGUUUUUCCUUAUUGUUAGGUAAAAAUGUGUAGAACUUAUCUGUAAUACACUGGACUUUCGCAAAUUGCGAAGUUCGAGUGUGUGGAAUGGUGUGUGGAUCACUCCUACAUGUUCUAAAAGGUUAGAACAAGUUUUUGGAUAAGUUAGAGGAUGAUUGGAAUGCUAAAAGCAAGAAAGUGUAUUGAUUGGGCGAAAUCAGCCUUUUCUGCUUGGUGUACCGGUACAGCCAUUAUGGUGUACCGGUACACAAUGCAGAAACGUGGCAGCUUGGGCUUUUUCGUAAUUUCACAUUUGACACCUACCUAUUUGAUCCCAGCACGAC
rnacentral:lncRNA from 1 species